rnacentral:rRNA from 1 species
AGUGAACGCUGGCGGUAGGCCUAACACAUGCAAGUCGAACGGCAGCACAGUGAGAGUUUGCGCUUACGGGUGGCGAGUGGCGGACGGGUGAGGAAUACAUCGGAAUCUACUUUUUCGGGGGGGAUAACGUAGGGAAACUUACGCUAAUACAGCAUACGACCUACGGGGGAAAGCAGGGGAUCUUCGGACCUUGCGCGAUUGAAUGAGCCGAUGUCGGAUUAGCUAGUUGGCGGGGUAAAGGCCCACCAAGGCGACGAUCCGUAGCUGGUCUGAGAGGAUGAUCAGCCACACUGGAACUGAGACACGGUCCAGACUCCUACGGGAGGCAGCAGUGGGGAAUAUUGGACAAUGGGCGCAAGCCUGAUCCAGCCAUACCGCGUGGGUGAAGAAGGCCUUCGGGUUGUAAAGCCCUUUUGUUGGGAAAGAAAAGCAGCAGGUUAAUACCCCGCUGUUCUGACGGUACCCAAAGAAUAAGCACCGGCUAACUUCGUG